UGUGAUCUACCUGUAUCAGCAGGUGAAUUCUAGAUUUGUUCGAGUCAUUUCGGGAAAUGUGGUAUAGCCUCGACAUUUUUCAUUAGUUGAGAUGGGCCAACCUGAUCUACUAAAACGUUUGAAAAGCAUUAUUUUUCAGAUUAUCAACCAAUUUAAUAUUCACCUGUAACCUAUAUUAUGAUAUAUAUAAUUAUAUAUCUAGGUGUUUGUUGGGAUUGGCUUGACAGUAUUUCCGGGUCACAGCUUUUCUCGAGGUAGUAAAUGUGAUGAUGAUAUUUUAAAAGUUUGGUCAGUUGAAGUGUUUUGAUUGGAAUGUAGUGUCAGGAGUGCAAACUUUUCUUUAAGUCUGUUGUGAUGAUAAUUUCCUGAGCUGGAAUUAGAGGAAAUGGAGAUCAUGAAAGUGACUACAUAUUCGCUGUCGUUCUUUGAAGCUGACCUCAUCUCAGAGACUUGCUUUGAUUGAAGCAUAAAAUAAUACAGUGGAAAACUCGUGACUAACCUAAUAAACAUGAGAGCUAAUUUACAUCUCCCCAUGAUAGUUUUCAUUCUUUUUCAAUGGAUGUCAGCUGUGAAUGGUGUUCCCUAUCAGACCUAUGUGAGUCCAGAAAAUAUAAACUGUAUACUCUGCCCGCCUGGUCAGAAAGUAGUAGAAGACUGCAAAAGUGAGGCAUCAGAAUCAAAGUGUGAACCGUGUGAAGCAGGGUUUUUCAUGCCACAGCCCAAU